GAUCUCAUGGCGCAACGGUAGCGCGUCCGACUCCAGAUCGGAAGGUUGCGAGUUCGAAUCUCGUUGGGAUCA